CAGAGAAUAGUUUAAUGGUAAAACAUCAGCUUUGGGGGUUGGAGAUGAAGGUUUAAGCCUUCUUUUUCUGA
rnacentral:tRNA from 1 species